GGGUGAAAAGCCCGCUCGCCGGAAGACCAAGGGUUCCUGUCCAACGUUAAUCGGGGCAGGGUGAGUCGACCCCUAAGGCGAGGCCGAAAGGCGUAGUCGAUGGGAAACAGGUUAAUAUUCCUGUACUUGGUGUUACUGCGAAGGGGGGACGGAGAAGGCUAUGUUGGCCGGGCGACGGUUGUCCCGGUUUAAGCGUGUAGGCUGGUUUUCCAGGCAAAUCCGGAAAAUCAAGGCUGAGGCGUGAUGACGAGGCACUACGGUGCUGAAGCGACAAAUGCCCUGCUUCCAGGAAAAGCCUCUAAGCAUCAGGUAACAUCAAAUCGUACCCCAAACCGACACAGGUGGUCAGGUAGAGAAUACCAAGGCGCUUGAGAGAACUCGGGUGAAGGAACUAGGCAAAAUGGUGCCGUAACUUCGGGAGAAGGCACGCUGAUAUGUAGGUGAAGCGACUUGCUCGUGGAGCUGAAAUCAGUCGAAGAUACCAGCUGGCUGCAACUGUUUAUUAAAAACACAGCACUGUGCAAACACGAAAGUGGACGUAUACGGUGUGACGCCUGCCCGGUGCCGGAAGGUUAAUUGAUGGGGUUAGCGGUAACGCGAAGCUCUUGAUCGAAGCCCCGGUAAACGGCGGCCGUAACUAUAACGGUCCUAAGGUAGCGAAAUUCCUUGUCGGGUAAGUUCCGACCUGCACGAAUGGCGUAAUGAUGGCCAGGCUGUCUCCACCCGAGACUCAGUGAAAUUGAACUCGCUGUGAAGAUGCAGUGUACCCGCGGCAAGACGGAAAGACCCCGUGAACCUUUACUAUAGCUUGACACUGAACAUUGAGCCUUGAUGUGUAGGAUAGGUGGGAGGCUUUGAAGUGUGGACGCCAGUCUGCAUGGAGCCGACCUUGAAAUACCACCCUUUAAUGUUUGAUGUUCUAACGUGGGCCCCUUACCGGGGUUGCGGACAGUGUCUGGUGGGUAGUUUGACUGGGGCGGUCUCCUCCUAAAGAGUAACGGAGGAGCACGAAGGUUGGCUAAUCCUGGUCGGACAUCAGGAGGUUAGUGCAAUGGCAUAAGCCAGCUUGACUGCGAGCGUGACGGCGCGAGCAGGUGCGAAAGCAGGUCAUAGUGAUCCGGUGGUUCUGAAUGGAAGGGCCAUCGCUCAACGGAUAAAAGGUACUCCGGGGAUAACAGGCUGAUACCGCCCAAGAGUUCAUAUCGACGGCGGUGUUUGGCACCUCGAUGUCGGCUCAUCACAUCCUGGGGCUGAAGUAGGUCCCAAGGGUAUGGCUGUUCGCCAUUUAAAGUGGUACGCGAGCUGGGUUUAGAACGUCGUGAGACAGUUCGGUCCCUAUCUGCCGUGGGCGCUGGAGAACUGAGGGGGGCUGCUCCUAGUACGAGAGGACCGGAGUGGACGCAUCACUGGUGUUCGGGUUGUCAUGCCAAUGGCACUGCCCGGUAGCUAAAUGCGGAAGAGAUAAGUGCUGAAAGCAUCUAAGCACGAAACUUGCCCCGAGAUGAGUUCUCCCUGACUCCUUGAGAGUCCUGAAGGAACGUUGAAGACGACGACGUUGAUAGGCCGGGUGUGUAAGCGCAGCGAUGCGUUGAGCUAACCGGUACUAAUGAACCGUGAGGCUUAACCUUACAACGCCGAAG
rnacentral:rRNA from 1 species